UACAGAGGGUGCAAGCGUUGCUCGGAAUUAUUGGGCGUAAAGGGUAGGUAGGUGGUCUCAUUUGUCCGAGGUGAAAUCCUGGGGCUUAACUUCAGAAGUGCCUUGGAAACGGUGAGACUAGAGUGCUGGAGAGGGUCGUGGAAUUCCCGGUGUAGCGGUGAAAUGCGUAGAGAUCGGGAGGAACACCAGAGGCGAAGGCGACGGCCUGGACAGCGACUGACACUCAACUACGAAAGCGUGGGGAUCAAACAGG
rnacentral:rRNA from 1 species